UGGUAGAUGCACCCUGAAUUCAAUCCCUGGCUUCGGCUGGGGAUUUUUUUG
rnacentral:sRNA from 12 species